rnacentral:rRNA from 1 species
UACGUAGGGGGGCAAGCGUUGUCCGGAUUUAUUGGGCGUAAAGAGCGUGUAGGCGGCCUUACAGGUCAGCUGUGAAAACUCGAGGCUCAACCUCGAGACGUCGGUUGAAACCGUAUGGCUAGAGUCCGGAAGAGGAGAGUGGAAUUCCCGGUGUAGCGGUGAAAUGCGCAGAUAUCAGGAAGAACACCUAUGGCGAAGGCAGCUCUCUGGGACGGUACUGACGCUGAGACGCGAAAGCGUGGGGAGCGAACAGG